rnacentral:rRNA from 1 species
ACGGGUGAGUAAUGCCUAGGAAUCUGCCUGGUAGUGGGGGACAACGUUUCGAAAGGAACGCUAAUACCGCAUACGUCCUACGGGAGAAAGCAGGGGACCUUCGGGCCUUGCGCUAUCAGAUGAGCCUAGGUCGGAUUAGCUAGUUGGUGAGGUAAUGGCUCACCAAGGCGACGAUCCGUAACUGGUCUGAGAGGAUGAUCAGUCACACUGGAACUGAGACACGGUCCAGACUCCUACGGGAGGCAGCAGUGGGGAAUAUUGGACAAUGGGCGAAAGCCUGAUCCAGCCAUGCCGCGUGUGUGAAGAAGGUCUUCGGAUUGUAAAGCACUUUAAGUUGGGAGGAAGGGUUGUAGAUUAAUACUCUGCAAUUUUGACGUUACCGACAGAAUAAGCACCGGCUAACUCUGUGCCAGCAGCCGCGGUAAUACAGAGGGUGCAAGCGUUAAUCGGAAUUACUGGGCGUAAAGCGCGCGUAGGUGGUUUGUUAAGUUGGAUGUGAAAGCCCCGGGCUCAACCUGGGAACUGCAUCCAAAACUGGCAAGCUAGAGUACGGUAGAGGGUGGUGGAAUUUCCUGUGUAGCGGUG